rnacentral:rRNA from 1 species
CCUACGGGGGGCUGCAGUGGGGAAUAUUGCACAAUGGGGGAAACCCUGAUGCAGCAACGCCGCGUGAGCGAAGAAGGUCUUCGGAUCGUAAAGCUCUGUUGUCAGGGAAGAACAAGUACCGAAGGAAAUGGCGGUACCUUGACGGUACCUGACGAGAAAGCCACGGCUAACUACGUGCCAGCAGCCGCGGUAAUACGUAGGUGGCAAGCGUUGUCCGGAAUUAUUGGGCGGAAAGCGCGCGCAGGCGGUUCCUUAAGUCUGAUGUGAAAGGCUACGGCUCAACCGUAGUAAGCUUUUGAAACUGUAGGGCUUGAGUGCAGGAGAGGAGAGUGGAAUUCCCAGUGUAGUGGUGAAAUGCGUAGAUAUUGGGAGGAACACCAGUUGCGAAGGCGGCUCUCUGGACUGUAACUGACGCUGAGGCACGAAAGCGUGGGGAGCGAACAGGAUUAGAUACCCCUGUAGUC